rnacentral:rRNA from 1 species
AUUGAACGCUGGCGGCAGGCCUAACACAUGCAAGUCGAGCGAGCGGCGGACGGGUGAGUAAUGUCUGGGAAACUGCCUGAUGGAGGGGGAUAACUACUGGAAACGGUAGCUAAUACCGCAUCCCAUCAGAUGUGCCCAGAUGGGAUUAGCUAGUAGGUGGGGUAACGGCUCACCUGGGCGACGAUCCCUAGCUGGUCUGAGAGGAUGACCAGCCACACUGGACAUGAUACACGGUCCAGCCUCGUACGGGAGGCAGCAGUGGGGAAUAUGGCACAAUGGGCGCAAGCCUGAUGCAGCCAUGCCGCGUGGGUGAAGAAGGCCUGCGGGUUUUAAAGCACUUUCAGCGGGGAGGCGUUACCCGCAGAAGAAGCACCGGCUAACUCCGUGCCAGCAGCCGCGGUAAUAC